rnacentral:misc_RNA from 1 species
UUCCUUUUCCCAUGUAUGACACCUGUUCAUAAAGUGCAAAUCAGUUGAGAAGGUGAACAAUUUGUACAAACCAACAUAGUUCAAAGUAAUAGAGAUUAUGUUCAUAUAGACUGCAUUACGCAGAUUUAACUCUUGUAGGAUUAUGUAUUCUACGUUAAUAAUCAUUUUACAAAUCAAACUCUUCUAUAUAUAAUACAAUUCAGUGAUCUUGUAAGGAGUUAAAGGGAAUCGCUUUUUUGCAUGCAAAUCCACAGAUUUGUCCUUCCUGUAUCCUUGGCACAAAUAAUCAAAGACAUAAUUUAACCAGCGUCGUUAUUUGUUUAACCUUUGUGGAAAGCUUAGAAUUAUUGAUUUCCAACGGUAAAGGAUUAAGGUCAGGGAGAUACCUUAAAAGAGAGAAGGUUUAGAGUGAAG